UCCUUGGUGGCUUAGAUGGUAAAGGAUCCGCUUCCAAUGCGGGAGACCCAGGUUUGAUCCCUGGGUUGGGAA
rnacentral:tRNA from 1 species